rnacentral:rRNA from 1 species
UACGGAGGGUGCAAGCGUUGUCCGGAUUUAUUGGGUUUAAAGGGUGCGUAGGCGGUCUUUUAAGUCAGUGGUGAAAGCCAACAGCUCAACUGUUGAACUGCCAUUGAUACUGGGAGACUUGAGUACAGACGAGGUAGGCGGAAUUAACGGUGUAGCGGUGAAAUGCAUAGAUAUCGUCAAGAACACCGAUUGCGAAGGCAGCUUACUAGACUGUAACUGACGCUGAGGCACGAAAGCGUGGGGAUCAAACAGG